UUUUUAUGUUCCACAUGACUAUGAUCACGGCUUCUGCUGUAAUGUAUAAAGUUCUUAAUUUACAAGUUGUUGUGUGUUUAUCACAUCAAUUAAUAAUUUAUGGUGUGUUUGAUUUCAUUGCUAGGACAAUGCAGGACAAAGGCUGUCAAAUAACUGGAGUGUUUGUCUUGAUGGCAAUAUGCACUGUAUGUUAUUCUGGGACAGAAGUUUGACUUCACUGAAGUAAACAUGAAGAACAUAGGAAAAUGGUGGUGUGCCAUCUUGCUUGAAAAUUAAACAUGGGAGAAAGAGAAAAUGAGCUGUUGUAGCUGAAGAAGAAGAAGAAUGCUCUGCACUCCCUGAAACCUAGGGGAAGAAAAAAACUGAACUUGCAUAUGAAACAGACCAAACCGCAGUUGUGCCCUUUGUUUUUAGCAAGGAUGAGCUGUUAAAAGAUGAUGACCCUCCAUCAAGCUUUAUCUUCAAGGUAGUUGAAUGUUAUAUAAUGUGCUUUUUUUAAAAAUGUAACGGCCUGUGCUAACUUUUCAGUUAUCAGGAGCGUUGCUGAAGAACAUAGUUGUUCUUCAAGAAGAAGAUGCUGCCUACACGACCCUGUCAUUGGCUUGCUCAAGGUUCAGGGACAUAGUUGGUGAUGACAAGUUCAAGAAUCAGGCACACUUCUUAUGGCUAGAAAGUAAAUAUUGACAUUAAAAAAUAAAAUGCAUAACAAGAACAUCAUUGAUAAUGUUAUGUGAUUUUUUCACCUCGGGUGUUACAUGCUGGAAAAAAGACAUCUCACUACAAACAGCUCUUCUGGAAGAUGUACUCAUUCUCCACUUGUUUGGAGUGUGGGUUUGAGUACAAAUGCUGCACACCUGGUACUUUUUGUGUAAAUUGGUGAUGAAUAAACUAGUUGUUAGUCUAGAGGAAAACUAAAAAUCUAAUUUACUUAUGUCAUCCCUUGGAGUUUAAAAGUUCUGGACACCAUUCAAUUGACCUACAGAACUGAGAAAUUAUUCCUAAUGUUUGUAAAUGUUCACUGUCAACUAUAAACCCUAGUUCUUAUUGUGCUUCUUGUGUAUCCAUCAGGUUAUGCUGGGAAGGGAAAGCGAGGUGAACUCCAGGGCAUUUAUUCAAAAACCUUCCACCCUGGAUUUUGCAGAUUUGACUGCAUGCAGAUCAGUUCUAAUGAGCUGAUAUAGUUUCCUUACAAAGACUAAAAAUAAUAAAAUAAAAUAAACACUUUUGCAAUCAA